GACGAACGCUGGCGGCGUGCUUAACACAUGCAAGUCGAACGGAAAGGCCCUGCUUUUGUGGGGUGCUCGAGUGGCGAACGGGUGAGUAACACGUGAGUAACCUGCCCUUGACUUUGGGAUAACUUCAGGAAACUGGGGCUAAUACCGGAUAGGAGCUCCUGCUGCAUGGUGGGGGUUGGAAAGUUUCGGCGGUUGGGGAUGGACUCGCGGCUUAUCAGCUUGUUGGUGGGGUAGUGGCUUACCAAGGCUUUGACGGGUAGCCGGCCUGAGAGGGUGACCGGCCACAGUGGGACUGAGAUACGGCCCAGACUCCUACGGGAGGCAGCAGUGGGGAAUAUUGCACAAUGGGCGGAAGCCUAAUGCAGCAACGCCGCGUGCGGGAUGACGGCCUUCGGGUUGUAAACCGCUUUCGCCUGUGACGAAGCGUGAGUGACGGUAAUGGGUAAAGAAGCACCGGCUAACUACGUG
rnacentral:rRNA from 1 species